rnacentral:rRNA from 1 species
GUAGGUGGCAAGCGUUGUCCGGAAUUAUUGGGCGUAAAGCGCGCGCAGGCGGUUCUUUAAGUCUGAUGUGAAAGCCCACGGGCUCAACCGUGGAGGGUCAUUGGAAACUGGGGAACUUGAGUACAGAAGAGGAAAGCGGAAUUCCACGUGUAGCGGUGAAAUGCGUAGAGAUGUGGAGGAACACCAGUGGCGAAGGCGGCUUUCUGGUCUGUAACUGACGCUGAGGCGCGAAAGCGUGGGGAGCAAACAGGAUUAGAUACCCUGGUAGUCCACGCCGUAAACGAUGUGUGCUAAGUGUUAGGGGGUUUCCGCCCCUUAGUGCUGCAGCUAACGCAUUAAGCACUCCGCCUGGGGAGUACGGCCGCAAAGGCUG